UCUCAGUUGUUGUGAAUCGAC
rnacentral:piRNA from 1 species